AUGGCCGCCUCCCGCCGCCUGGCGCGGAAGCUCCCCUCCAUAAUCUCCAAGCACCAGCGCCUCAUCUCGCCGGAGAUCGAAACCCUAGAGGAGACCCCCGAAAUCUCCACCUCCCCCGCCUCCAUCCCCCUCGACCCCUCCCUGCCGCUCCUCCCGCUCGCCGUCUCCCACCUCUCGCCGCCGAGCCCCGUCCCGGCUCUCCCCUCCGCGCACGCCUCCUCCCCGGAGGCGCUCCUCCGCCUCCUGCACCGCGCGCGGCACCACCCGCGCCUCGCGGCGCUCGACCUCCAUCUCCUCCUCGCGGCCGCCGACGCCUCCUCGGCCUUCCGCCCCGACCACCGCCUCACGAGCCUCCUCGCCGCGCGCCUCGCAGCCUCCCGCCGCCUCCCCUCGCUGCGGCGCCUCCUCCAGCUCGUCCUCUCCCGCCCCUGCCCCUGCGCCGACGACUCCAUCUUCGCCUGCCCCGAUCUCCUCCCGACCUUCCGCAAGGCCAUCCUCGCCUUCGCCACCUCCGGCGACAUCCCCGCGGCGUCCGAAGCCCUCGCGUCCCUCCGCCGCGCCGCGGACUCGCCCCUCCCCGCCGAGUUCUACAACAUCAUUCUCCACGCUCUCGCCCGUCUCCACCGCCACGACGACGCCAUCCGCUUCUACGGCGAGAUGACCAGUGUCCACCGCGUCGCACCGGAUGCCUACACCUUCAACAUACUCAUCAACAGCUCCUGCCGCGUGGAAGGCGUUGAUGCCGCCAUGGGGUGGUUCGAGGAGAUGCAACGCCGGAGCUGUGCACCGACUGGUGUGAGCUUCAAUACUCUUAUGCGCGGGUUCUUCAGAGAAGGAAGGCACAAGGAAGGGCUUAAGGUUGCUCAUGAGAUGUUGCAGCUUGGGGUCGGCCUGUCGGUUGCUUGA
rnacentral:rRNA from 1 species